GCAGGAUUAAUUUAAUUGUAAUUUAAAAAAGAAAGAAAAAAUAUAAUUAUCACAGGAGACGUCUCUUAAUUAGGGCGUGAAGAGCCGUGUCUUAGAACACGUGUCGGUAUGAAAAAAAAAUUGGAAGUCUUGUCUCUUCUCUUCCUCUACAUCUCUUCUUCUCUAUCUCUUCCUCUCUGUCUCUCUUCCAUGAUGAAUCCACAAGGCCAUCCCGAACCUGAUUCCGAUCUGAAUUGGUGUUAGAUAUAUGGUGGAUAAAGCAAAGGUUUAGGAAGAGAUCAAAGAGAUUAGAGUUGACGAGGUUUCAUCAACCAACGGAGAGGCCAAUGGAUAUCCCUCUAUUAGUGAGAAGUUUGGUGAUAAAGACCCUGAGAAAGGGGUAGCAGCAGUAGUAGUAGUAAGAAUGGUGAUAGCAGCAGAUCAGGCUCGUUUAAUCACUUGAUUCUUAUAGGAACAGCCAAAACAUAAGUCCUUGUGACAGCUUUAUUUAUUUAUUUUGUUUUAUCUUCUCUUCAUCUGAGGUGAUUGGGUGGUGUGGUGUGAUGCAGGCUUGCUUACCUACACGAGCUUGAGCCAAAAGUGGUGCAUAGAGACAUAAAGUCUAGCAACAUUCUGAUUGAUGACAAAUUCAAUUCUAAGAUCUCUGACUUUCUCCUUUGCGAAGCUGCUUGGCGCUGAUAAAAGCUUUAUAACUACUAGAGUAAUGGGUACCUUUGGGGUUCUUCUAUUCUUACCAAUCAAGAAUCUCAUUCUCACGCUUUCAUGGGCUCUAAUUCGACGUUUAUGACGUCCUCUCACUUAACCAUCUAAGAGAUAAAAAAAAUAUUCAGGAGAAAGAAAGUUUGAUCACUGAACUCAGAAAAGAACUUCGGGGGUCUGAUGAGGAACACAUGGAGCUCUUAUCAAGGGUUAAUGCCGAUGAAAUGAUCAGGCGAAUAAGGAAUGGAGAAAGGGUAACAAUGUUCCUCAGAUGGUUCAUGAUAAUGCUCCGAGUCCAGCCGUUUCAGGAUCACGUAAGAAGCAAAAGACAUCACAAUCAAUGGCCUCGUUAUCGAUGGGCCCUCCAUCUCCUGCUAUGCAACCAUCUUCUUCUGCGCUAAGAAGGGGAGGUCCUUUACCAGGCAUCUUAUCUUUCAUUCCUAUAUAGUCAAGUGACAAUGUGCUUUAGUCAAGUGACAAUGUGCUUUAGUGUCUAGAAUUAAUGGACGUGUUGUUGAUGUAAUUUGCUUGGAUCAUAAGGUUUCAAUCAUAGAAUGAAAGAAAUUAAAAACUCUUAAAUAAGAGACUCCCAUUGAAGCACAAAAUCAAAGUGUUUCUUAGCUAAACUUCUUGAUUACAUUUAAAUACUAAAAUAAUCACUAAGAGACCCUAAGUGGGGUUGUUGUGGGUUAAUGAUGCUCUUAGAAACUCAUAAGGUUUCUUAAAUACACUUUAAUGACUAUUUAACUAUUAAAUUUUAGUUAAAGAUCUUAGUUAAGA